rnacentral:misc_RNA from 1 species
GCAAAUGAGAUUGGAUUCUAGAGUGGAUGUAAUCGAUCGAAGGUGGCAAGCCGUUGGGCAAGAAGUGGAAGAAGAAAAGUCCUGCUCAUUAUCAAUCUCAACAACAGCAUUUGAUUCAUCUGCAUCUUGGUCCUUGAGAAGCAAAUUGAGAGUAUCACAAUAAUCUGGGAGAAGCCUCAUGUAAUUCAUCACAUACUUUGUGAGGUGAUGAAUUCGACCUCCAGGGAAAGGGUGUAAAGAUGCAUCAGAUGCAAUGGCAUUCCCAAAUCUCA